UGUUUUAUUCAGUAAUAUUAAGUUAGCUUAUUUUGCUUAGCUAUAUAAAUUAUGUUUUAUUUAUUUCAGGAUUGUGCAAGUAGAGGAGUCGAUUUAGCGUGCCAGUGAAGGCGUUUUGUUUGUUUGGGUGGCCAAUAUGAGGGCAUGAAAUGGCGUUUAAAUUAGGAGUGAUUG
rnacentral:misc_RNA from 1 species